CCACGCAUCUUUCAACGGUUAGGAACCCUGCCUGAUACGCAGGUAAUGAUAGUUCAAGUCUAUCUGCGUGGACUA
rnacentral:tRNA from 1 species